ACUUCCGGAGUAACCGGAAGUUCCUAUGUUCUUUAUUGUACUCUCGGUGACGUCCACCCAGUUUAAAUUAAAGUUCCCGGAUUUUUGUGGGCGCCUCACCCGCCCCUCGUCCCCCUGCUGUGUCCGUAUAUCGAGGCGACAGGGUUAAGGGUUAAGGGAAGGGGGACGCCUGAUGGGUUAAUGAGCAAACUAAAGUGUUUUCUUUUCCAGGAUCUUUUUUGAGUCGCAAUUGAAGUACCACCUCCCGAGAGUGAUUGCUUCCCCACGCGAGGUAGAACCUUUGCUAUCCUGUUCACCACUCUACCUCCAGUGCUAGCACAGCAUUUGGCUCAUGCCUACUCAGUGUGAAGGUGAUGAGAAUGAAAACCUUUGUGAUGAUCCACUUCCGCUUAAUGAAUGGUUCCUAGUCUCCUCUUCCUCAGACCAAAAGCCAGAGGCAAGAAUGCCCUCAUUCACACCCCAGCGGUCUAUACCUCCAGCAGCAAGUCGAGUGAGCAAGUGAUGUCCUGAAAGGCCCCAUGGAUCAGUGGAAUGGAGCGGGCAGGAAGACUUAGUGCUCCUGAAACAAGGAAUCCAGAAUCUGGGAGAAGGAUGGCUCAGUGGGGCUUUCAAGGGACAAGCGUGGGGGUUGAAGGGGUCACUGUCCCUAUACCAAAUCUGAAAAUAUUGUGACCAGGACCCAUUCUGUCCAACUCGUCUAUUUCAGACGGCAAAGCAAAACUAUGUUCAAGGCCACAUGCAAAGCUACUCCCUGAGGAAAGAGUCACAGAUAAAAUGGGGGCAUGAGUAGUAUGGCCAGGACAAACGCAGUGCAGCACAGAGAUUCAGACCCUGACAGCCAUGCCUGUGCAGGCAGUGAUGACAGUGACAUGUGCUUUUGUGGACAUGCACAAAAGUGAG